UUUGGGGCAAUCCCUCGCAUAGUGUGGUCCAUCACAAAAGAAGCAUUGGACCGGGGUCUUCGAUUUGGGAGGGAAAUCUCUACGUCCCUUGGCCCUUUCUGAAGCCUCCUUGCCCUUAGGCGGGUCUCCCCCGCUCUUUCCCUUGCCGGCCUUGUCCUUGGGUUUAGGUUUCUCCACUUUCCUAAACUCAAUAAGGGACUCGGCGAUGGAUAUGGCAGUGGUCAGGUUCUUGGGCACCACGGCGUUGGAUUUCAAGCCUUGCCCACUGCUGCAACCCGUCCAUGAAGGCAAAGAAAGCUUCUUUAUCAGGGUAGCCAUGGAUUUCGAGAAGUACCUCUGUGAACUCUUUGACGUACUCCCGGAUGGUUCCUUUGUGCUGCAAACGCCUUAGCUUGCCACGAGCUUNNNNN
rnacentral:lncRNA from 1 species